UGCUUGCACUUUGGCAGACUGAGUGGCGGACGGGUGAGUAACGCGUGGGUAACCUGCCCUGUACAGGGGGAUAACAGUUAGAAAUGACUGCUAAUACCGCAUAAGCGCACAGCUUCGCAUGAAGCAGUGUGAAAAACUCCGGUGGUACAAGAUGGACCCGCGUCUGAUUAGCUGGUUGGUGAGGUAACGGCCCACCAAGGCGACGAUCAGUAGCCGGCCUGAGAGGGUGAACGGCCACAUUGGGACUGAGACACGGCCCAAACUCC
rnacentral:rRNA from 1 species